rnacentral:rRNA from 1 species
AUUGAACGCUGGCGGCAGGCCUAACACAUGCAAGUCGAGCGAUCGGCGGACGGGUGAGUCAUGCCUGGGAAUUGCCCAGUCGAGGGGGCUAACAGUUGGAAACGACUGCUAAUACCGCAUACGAUUGGAUUGCCCAGGUUGGUUUAGCUAGUUGGUGAGGUAAUGGCUCACCAAGGCUACGCUCCCUAGCUGGUCUGAGAGGAUGAUCAGCCACACGGGAACGGAGACACGGUCCAUACUCCUACGGGGGGCAGCAGUGGGGAAUAUUGCACAAGGGGGGAAACCCGGAUGCAGCAAUGCGGCGUGGGUGAAGAAGGCCUUCGGGUUGUAAAGCACGUUCAGCGAGGAGGCGUUACUCGCAGAAGAAGCACCGGCUAACUACGUGCCAGCAGCCGCGGUAAUUC